rnacentral:rRNA from 1 species
GCCUACGGGGGGCAGCAGUGGGGAAUAUUGCGCAAUGGGCGAAAGCCUGACGCAGCGACGCCGCGUGAGGGAUGAAGGUCUUCGGAUCGUGAACCUCUGUCAGCAGGGAAGAACGGUCACUGUGCUAAUCAGCAGUGAAUUGACGGUACCUGCAAAGGAAGCACCGGCUAACUCCGUGCCAGCAGCCGCGGUAAUACGGAGGGUGCGAGCGUUAAUCGGAAUUACUGGGCGUAAAGCGCUCGUAGGCGGUAUGUCAAGUCAAGGGUGAAAUCCCCGCGCUCAACGUGGGAACUGCCUUUGAAACG